rnacentral:lncRNA from 1 species
GUGACAGAAGUCCUGCAUACAGUGGAGCACGUGGGAUCUGAGAGGCGGCGGUGCCAGUUAUUUCUGAGGCAAAAAUGUCUAAAUGCAUGUGAAUUAUAAUUUAUCUUUAAAUUAUUUUCUGUAUAUUUGGGUCUAGUGGAGGGCAUCCUUUAUACUGCUGAUUUAGAAUCUAAGAGAGAAAGAGAGAAGCUAUUAUUCCUUUGUUUGUCCAAGAGCCUUCCUCAAGUGUUUUUUUUUUUCCUUUCCCACUCAUUUUAUAAUUCUCUUGAAUUCCUGGCAUAUGAAAUAGGGGUUUUCCUUUGUUAUUAUCUUGUGCAAACUUGCAGGGCACUCACAAACCUUAAUCAAGUUACCUCAUGGGCCAGUCUAGCUCCUCUCAGAAAGCUCUUGAACCCCAUUUGCCAUUUAAAAAAAAAGUUUAAAGCUGUGUGAGAUGGUAUGACUUCAAUGUUUGAGAAGUCUGCCUUGGCUGAAUAUCUAAUCCCAUAAAUUAGGGGGAAUAAAAACCUCAUUGUAACCAGAACAACACUGGCUCUGAGACGUGUUGGGCAAAACAUGACCGCUUAGGCAGCAAAUGCGUCAGGGAGUGGCAGACCCCGAUGUGCGGGGAGGCAGUGGGAUAAUGGGAGCCUUGGGAGGCCCCGGUGGCCCUCAGGUGGGAAUAAUUCUGGAGAAAGAGCUGGUGCAGCCAGAACGGUGGGAGGGCUGCUAGUGGGGUGGAGAGAAUGAUUUAAGGAUUAGAGUUUGAAGAAGUUUGAAAGUAGAAUUUAACACUCUAACAAGCUCGGGUGAUGGAUAAGGAUAUUUUAUCCAUCCCUCCAUCCCUCCAGAUCGUCUCUUUGGAGAAAGAUAUAGAAGCCUGCCUGCAAAAUCUCAUUUAAGAUGGGAAGCGAUAUGGAGGAGUUCCAAAGGAAAAUUCCUUGGUCUGUUUUAUGUGCAGUCACAAUAUGACCUGAGUGGGAGGUGCCUGCCAUCUACCUUGGAAUUCUCCCUAAAUAUGAAGACUGCUUAGAUUCUGCAUAGACAAAAUGACAAGAGCCUACUGCGCAGGAAGAAGAAGGGGAAAUUAAAGAGAAAAUCCAAUGCAAAGUGACACUUUCAAUCCAUAAUAUAU